AUUAAACGAUAUUUCUUUACUUUUACUAUACAGUAGAUAAAGGAACCAGGCUCGUCCAUAAUGGCUCUAUGGAUGCACGUUUUUCAAGGGAUACGUCAAACAACAGUCACGUAACUAUGGUUUUAAAUUGGAACGAUGCUACUUGGAAAAAUGCGGAAAAUAUCACGUAUUUUAAAGUUCAGAUAAGAAAAAGCGAGUCGGUUAUCUCUACAGAUUAUGUCAACACAUCCUCCCAUGUAAGUGAUUGGUC